rnacentral:rRNA from 1 species
GACGAACGCUGGCGGCGUGCUUAACACAUGCAAGUCGAACGGAAAGGCCCUGCUUUUGUGGGGUGCUCGAGUGGCGAACGGGUGAGUAACACGUGAGUAACCUGCCCUUGACUUUGGGAUAACUUCAGGAAACUGGGGCUAAUACCGGAUAGGAGCUCCUGCUGCAUGGUGGGGGUUGGAAAGUUUCGGCGGUUGGGGAUGGACUCGCGGCUUAUCAGCUUGUUGGUGGGGUAGUGGCUUACCAAGGCUUUGACGGGUAGCCGGCCUGAGAGGGUGACCGGCCACAUUGGGACUGAGAUACGGCCAAGACUCCUACGGGAGGCAGCAGUGGGGAAUAUUGCACAAUGGGCGGAAGCCUGAUGCAGCAACGCCGCGUGCGGGAUGACGGCCUUCGGGUUGUAAACCGCUUUCGCCUGUGACGAAGCGUGAGUGACGGUAAUGGGUAAAGAAGCACCGGCUAAAUAAGUG